rnacentral:rRNA from 1 species
UACAUGGAUAACUGUGGUAAUUCUAGAGCUAAUACAUGCCGAAUCGGCGCAUUUAUUAGAUCAAAACCAAUUUUGGUGAAUCUGAAUAACUCACGGUCCUCGAACCGGCGACGUAUCUUUCAAAUGUCUGCCUUAUCAACUUUCGAUGGUAGUUUAUGCGCCUACCAUGGUUGUAACGGGUAACGGAGAAUAAGGGUUCGAUACCGGAGAGGGAGCCUGAGAAACGGCUACCACAUCCAAGGAAGGCAGCAGGCACGCAAAUUACCCACUCCCGGCGGUGAGGUAGUGACGAAAAAUAACGAGGUGAUUCUCUAAACCAUCGGAAUGAGUACAAUUUAAAUCCUUUAACGAGGAUCUAUUGGAGGGCAAGUCUGGUGCCAGCAGCCGCGGUAAUUCCAGCUCCAAUAGCGUAUAUUAAAGUUGUUGCGUUUAAAAAGCUCGUAGUUGGAUCUGCUAGGAUGGCGGUCCCCCGAUGGGUGUGUCUCCGGUUUUCCCUUGGUGCUCUUUACUGAGUGUCUUGGGUGGCUGGAACGUUUACUUUGAAAAAAUUAGAGUGCUUAAAGCAGGCGCACGCCUGGAUAGUGGUGCAUGGAAUAAUGGAAUAGGAGGUUCUAUUUUGUUGGUUUUCGGAGCAGAGGUAAUGAUUAAGAGGGACAGACGGGGGCAUUCGUAUUGCGACGUUAGAGGUGAAAUUCUUGGA